rnacentral:rRNA from 1 species
GACGAACGCUAGCGGCGUGCUUAACACAUGCAAGUCGAACGGAAAGGCCCUGCUUUUGUGGGGUGCUCGAGUGGCGAACGGGUGAGUAACACGUGAGUAACCUGCCCUUGACUUUGGGAUAACUUCAGGAAACUGGGGCUAAUACCGGAUAGGAGCUCCUGCUGCAUGGUGGGGGUUGGAAAGUUUCGGCGGUUGGGGAUGGACUCGCGGCUUAUCAGCUUGUUGAUGGGGUAGUGGCUUACCAAGGCUUUGACGGGUAGCCGGCCUGAGAGGGUGACCGGCCACAUUGGGACUGAGAUACGGCCCAGACUCCUACGGGAGGCAGCAGUGGGGAAUAUUGCACAAUGGGCGGAAGCCUGAUGCAGCAACGCCGCGUGCGGGAUGACGGCCUUCGGGUUGUAAACCGCUUUCGCCUGUGACGAAGCGUGAGUGACGGUAAUGGGUAAAGAAGCACCGGCUAACUACGUG